rnacentral:rRNA from 1 species
GACGAACCGAGCGAACGUUGUUCGGAAUCACUGGGCUUAAAGGGCGCGUAGGCGGACUGCCGCGUCCGGGGUGAAAUCCCACGGCUCAACCGUGGAACGGCCCCGGAUACGGGCGGUCUGGAGGGGGGUAGGGGCACCUGGAACUGUGGGUGGAGCGGUGAAAUGCGUUGAUAUCCACAGGAACUCCGGUGGCGAAGGCGAGGUGCUGGACCCCACCUGACGCUGAGGCGCGAAAGCCAGGGGAGCGAACGGG